AGGCCCGGGCAACACCUCCCGACAUGGCGGCGGCUCCCCCUUCCCGCCUUCCCGCCUCCGUGCGGGCGGGCCCGGGGCGGGCCCCGGCGGCCCCAUAAAGCCGGGUGCGCGGGGCUGGUCGCCCUCUUGCUCCCGCGUGGCUGAGGCCUGUGUGAUGGCAGGGGGCUGCUGGGCAUGCUGCAGAGCUGGAGCAGUGCAUGGAGCUGGCUGGGAUCAGCCUUACACUGAGUGCAGUUGCCUGGCUUCCUUCACAGUGCCUGAACCUUGAGCAGGCCUGUGUGAUGGCAGGGGGCUGCUGGGCCUGCUGCAGAGCUGAAGCGAUGGUGGUAGAUGGCUGGGAUCAGCCUUACACUGAGGGCAGUUGCCUGGUUUGCUCUGUUGUGCCUGAACCCCUGAUACCCCUGAUGGGUGUGAAUGGCCUGUGUGAUGGCAGGGGGCUGCUGGGCCUGCUGCAGAGCUGAAGCGAUGGCUGGAACCAGCUGUGGAUCAGAUGUGUGAUGAGGGCAGUUGCCUGGUUUGCUUCACAGUGCCUGAACCUUGAGCAGGCCUGUGUGAUGGCAGGGGGCUGCUGGGCAUGCUGCAGAGCUGAAGUGAUAGCUGGAGCCAGCAGUGCGGCGAGUUGGCCUGGUUUGCUUCACUGUUUACUUUUUCCUUUGGCAGAAGAGAAUGGUUAAGAUCUGUCAGAAGUUGUCCCAGGACCUGCUGUGAUUUCAGUGUUCUAGGUGAAAGCUGUCUCCUGCUAAUGAUGUUACUCUCCAUGCUGCUGCCUGUGAUCCCUUGUUCAAGCUACAGCAUCCACAUCAUCCUGCAACAGCUCUUUGGUCUUUUCUCAGAGCUAGCAGGGAAUGAUAAAUUGGUGUCUUGCCAACUCACAGAUGGAGGGUGUUAUAUUUUUUCCUUUGUAUGAGACAUUUAAUCGGAAUGGAUUCUGGAACUUGUAUGUUUAACAUAAUUUGGUGCUUUUGUCUGUGAGGGAUGUCUGUGUUCACCUGGCAACUAAUGUUACCUUGUCAGUAUCGUGCAAAGUAUAGAAGCCUUAAAGAGCUAUUCUCAUGUAUGGGAUGAUGGCCUUGUGUGUAAGGAGGGAAUUCAAGUCUUGGUUCUCCCCUGUCACUCUGAAAGCUUUAGUAAAGUAUCAUCUGCAUGUGAAGCAAGGAAGGUGCAUUUGGAUGCUGCAGUGCGGUCUGUUUCUGUACUCUUUAGGGCCUAUUUUUAAUAAAACCUGAGUACUCUGAACUCA